AUUGAACGCUGGCGGCGUGCUUAACACAUGCAAGUCGAUCGGUAACAGGUGUAGCAAUACAUGCUGACGAGAGGCGGACGGGUGAGGAAUAUUUGGGAAUCUGCCCAUCAGCGGGGGACAACCCGGGGAAACCCGGGCUAAUACCGCAUACGCUCUACGGAGGAAAGCCGGGGACCGCAAGGCCUGGCACUGAUGGAUGAGCCCAAAUCGGAUUAGCUAUUUGGCGGGGUAACGGCCCACCAAGGCGACGAUCCGUAGCUGGUCUGAGAGGACGAUCAGCCACACCGGAACUGAGACACGGUCCGGACUCCUACGGGAGGCAGCAGUGGGGAAUAUUGGACAAUGGGGGAAACCCUGAUCCAGCGACGCCGCGUGGGUGAAGAAGGCCUGCGGGUUGUAAAGCCCUUUCGGUAGGGACGAAAGCUCUUGCUCCAACAAAGCAGGAGGUUGACUUAACCUACAUAAGAAGCACCGGCUAACUCUGUGCCAGCCGCCGCAGUAACAC
rnacentral:rRNA from 1 species